GUCAUCCUUAUCCCUAACCUCCUGACCCCAACCAUCCCACACAUCACGCCAUGGAUUGCGCCGCCGCCCUGCUCAACAGCCAACGCCGUCGCCGCCUGCCCCAUCCGUCGUCGCUCCCGCCGCAUCAACCCUCUGCCGCAUCCCACCGCCAUCAUGAACCAUCUCUCUCCUUGGUCUUCUGUCUUUGACCAAUACUGGGUGGCGACUGUGCUUCCGGUCGCGUGGUGGCGAUGUGGCUGGUCGAGGGAACACAGUGUUCCUGUUGUGCCCCUUCACACAUUGGACCACCGUGGCGCGGAAGUACAUGGAGAAGAUCGCGCUGCUCUUAGCAAAUUCGGGUGUUUUGAGUCGGCUACCCAGCAAGGGGUAUGGUCACAUGGAUGAUUAGCAUCUUUUGGCAAAAGCAUGUUAAUUCACUGAAGAAAUACUACUGCACCUAUGACUAUGAGCGGAGAUGUCCACUCACGAUUUUUGAGGACCACUUGAGGAUGUGAUCAGUAGUGCAGCUUCAAAGCUGCUUGAUAUGACAUAGUGUUUGAUUUUUACAAAUCUGAAAGUCAAGCCUAAGCAAUGUUACGGUUCAGAUCUAAACCUUAAACUUACUGAUUAUUUGUUGUGCGUUACUAAUCUGACCGGCCAUCGAUUUCCACCUUAACCUUAUUUAUCUUUCUUAUUAGCUCCACGUCUCUAGCGUCUAUAGAGUCCUAACCCAAGAAUAUCUCCUGCCGCCUUCAGUCCAAACCCUCGGCAAGAGUCUCCCCUGCAUCCUCCUCUUCUCCUUGCCGCCUAUGUCUCCUUCUUUUGCUCCUCGGGUCGCUAUUGUGACGCGUCCGUCGUCUUUUUCAUGAGGAGCUAGAUGAUUUCAGUCUGAGAUUACAUCCUCCUAUAGAGAAUCCUACCCUUUCCAUGCUGUCACUGUAGCCAGGUCUAGCAAAGGGGAUAAAUUUAUGUUGCAAAUGAGAUGCUAAAGUUUAUAUGCAGAGGUGUGCAACUCUGUAUCCAUCAACAUCCAUACUUCAGGGUGGAGUAGAGGAAGGGAGCAUUUACCAGAGAUGUGCUUUUAGCAGCAUUAUUUUUAGAUAAAAUAAUUAUACCUGCUUUUAUCUGUAAGCUGCACACAGGGCAGAGGAUGCAAUUUGGUUUAGAAGAAGAAGAAAACACAUUGACACUAUGGCUUAUAAUUCUUAUGAUAGUAUCAGAAAAUAUAUGCAAUAUGGUUUAGGUAACAAAAACACAGCAUUAUGUCUUCGUUGGAAAAUUUGCCACUCCGGAGACAUAGACAGAAUUAUCACUUUCAUCUUAUUAAUGGUAUUUUCCUAAAGUAAGAAGAUAAAGAAGAGAUGGGUUUAUAUGAAGCAGGCCUGCCGCAACAGUCAAAAGAUGAUGUCUCAGUAUUUCACAUUUAAAGCAAGGACAAGUGCUCAUAAAUGAUUAUAUGUAUCUACUUUAUUAAACUAGCAUAUUAACUAAUCCCCCGAAUCCAUGUACUCUAUAUUCUUACUGAUUGCAUGACGUUCUUUUGCUUCUUGAUAAAUAUGUCCAUUUUCAUUAUUAUUUCAUAAUAUCUGCUAUGUACAGUGGCAUCAUUGAGCAUUCCUUUACUUUUCACAUUUCAGUUCAAUGUUCUGCACAGUGCACAGUAUAACGCUACAUUGGAUGGCGCUAUUAAAUACUUCGAGGUCAUGCGACAGAGCACGAAAAAAGAACUAUCGAGGUAUGUUUUAUGCUCAUACUACGAUUUUGAGAUUCAGAUGCAGUUUUAUUUAGAACACAUUUUUAUCAUAAUAUUCAAUUCCAAUGCAUUUGGAAUGGGUCAAGUCAAUUGUAAGAGUUGAAUUAGCUACUUCGCCUUUGAGUCCUUUGUUGUUUAGUUGUAAUUUUUUAUUCAAUAAAUUCCUAAAUGCACCAUUUCUUAUGAGCAGGUUUUUUUAAAAUCAAAAUCACAAUGUUAUAUAUAUGUUUCGUGCCUCUCACGUCAAUUCUAAGAGGGCACAGGUUGGGUUCAAUAUUUUUAUCGUCAGAUCUAACCAUGAUGAAGGCAGGCCCCUCCGAUUGCUAUUAGGAAUGUGGAAGGUUGACCAGCCGUCUCUUCCUCUCCAUCGUCUCUCCAUGGUGUGCAUGUUAAGAACUUAUGCAGCAGCGGACGCCAAUUUCAUGGAGCCGUCAGCAUCAACUUUUGUGGAGUCCUCUUCUAGGAUCUGAUACGAGUCCCUCCGACAUCAGAUAAGGUUUGGGUAUGCAUGAGGACGAAUCGGAUAAUCAAUUGCAAACUGAUUGUAUCGUAUGUUGUGUACUAUCGACGCAUUUGCUUGGGUGGAAAAGUCUCGCUUCUGAUUACAACACUUUCAGAAGACAGUAGAAGUCGUUUGGUUCAGCCCUUCUGAUUUGUGUUACGGUGCUAUCGGAUAAAGCGCUUCACUUCGCUUCCGUGAAAAAGUCCGAUCACGGCUGGAUACAGGAUCCUCUCCACUACGCAUUCACUCGCGGCCAAGCCAAACAAAACGCAUAUUCAGGACUCAGGAGGAAAUAUCAGAGGCAAAGCUUCCCGACACUAAAAAUAAAAAACGAUACAAACGUGGAACCAAACGCCUCCCAUAUUUCUUCGGUUCCACUUGGAAAACAUAGAUUGAUUAUGUAUCAAUAAACCAUGUGUUAGUCAAGAC